rnacentral:rRNA from 1 species
GAUGAACGCUAGCGGCAGGCUUAAUACAUGCAAGUCGAGGGGCAGCAUGAGUGUAGCAAUACAUUUGAUGGCGACCGGCAAACGGGUGCGGAACACGUACACAACCUUCCUAUAAGUGGGGAAUAGCCCAGAGAAAUUUGGAUUAAUACCCCGUAACAUAAUGAUGUGGCAUCACAUUAUUAUUAUAGCUUCGGCGCUUAUUGAUGGGUGUGCGGCUGAUUAGGUAGUUGGCGGGGUAACGGCCUACCAAGUCUACGAUCAGUAGCUGAUGUGAGAGCAUGAGCAGCCACAAGGGCACUGAGACACGGGCCCGACUCCUAGGGGAGGCAGCAGUAAGGAAUAUUGGUCAAUGGACGCAAGUCUGAACCAGCCAUUCCGCGUGAAGGAUUAAGGUCCUCUGAUUGUAAACUUCUUUUAUCUGGGACGAAAAAAGGCGAUUCUUCGUCACUUGACGGUACCAGAUGAAUAAGCACCAGCUAACUCCGUGCCAGCAGCCGCCGUAAAAC